AACGAACGCUGGCGGCAGGCUUAACACAUGCAAGUCGAGCGCCCCGCAAGGGGAGCGGCAGACGGGUGAGUAACACGUGGGAAUCUACCCAUCCCUACGGAACAACUCCGGGAAACUGGAGCUAAUACCGUAUACGCCCUUUGGGGGAAAGAUUUAUCGGGGGUGGAUGAGCCCGCGUUGGAUUAGCUAGUUGGUGGGGUAAAGGCCUACCAAGGCGACGAUCCAUAGCUGGUCUGAGAGGAUGAUCAGCCACAUUGGGACUGAGACACGGCCCAAACUCCUACGGGAGGCAGCAGUGGGGAAUAUUGGACAAUGGGCGCAAGCCUGAUCCAGCCAUGCCGCGUGAAUGAUGAAGGCCUUAGGGUUGUAAAGUUCUUUCACCGAUGAAGAUAAUGACGGUAGUCGGAGAAGAAGCCCCGGCUAACUUCGUGCCAGCAGCCGCCUGUAAGAC
rnacentral:rRNA from 1 species